rnacentral:rRNA from 1 species
GUCUGUCAAGUCGGAUGUGAAAUCCCCGGGCUCAACCUGGGAACUGCAUUCGAAACUGGCAGGCUUGAGUCUUGUAGAGGGGGGUAGAAUUCCAGGUGUAGCGGUGAAAUGCGUAGAGAUCUGGAGGAAUACCGGUGGCGAAGGCGGCCCCCUGGACAAAGACUGACGCUCAGGUGCGAAAGCGUGGGGAGCAAACAGGAUUAGAUACCCUGGUAGUCCACGCCGUAAACGAUGUCUACUUGGAGGUUGUGCCCUUGAGGCGUGGCUUCCGGAGCUAACGCGUUAAGUAGACCGCCUGGGGAGUACGGCCGCAAGGUUAAAACUCAAAUGAAUUGACGGGGGCCCGCACAAGCGGUGGAGCAUGUGGUUUAAUUCGAUGCAACGCGAAGAACCUUACCUGGUCUUGACAUCCAC